AUUCUCUAUACUCUGUAUCUUUAGGUAUUUAAAUAAAAGUAAACAAACAAUUUUGACAGAUCCAGGCGGUUUUGUAUUUGGUUGGUUAACCAAUAAAUGUUAUAACUACCCGAAAAUGUUCAAAUUAUUUGUUUACUUUUAUUGAAAUACCUAAAG